rnacentral:rRNA from 1 species
CAGUCGCCGCGGGAAUACGGAGGGGGCUAGCGUUGUUCGGAAUUACUGGGCGUAAAGCGCACGUAGGCGGCUUGGUAAGUUAGAGGUGAAAGCCUGGAGCUCAACUCCAGAAUUGCCUUUAAGACUGCCGAGCUAGCAGGUGAGAGAGGUAGGUGGAAUUCCGAGUGUAGAGGUGAAAUUCGUAGAUAUUCGGAAGAACACCAGUGGCGAAGGCGGCUUACUGGCUCAUACUGGACGCUGAGGUGCGAAAGCGUGGGGAGCAAACAGGAUUAGAGACCCCAGUAGUCCCUGUCUCUUAUAC